GACGAACGCUGGCGGCGUGCUUAACACAUGCAAGUCGAACGAUGAAGGAGAGCUUGCUCUCCGGAUUAGUGGCGAACGGGUGAGUAACACGUGACUAACCUGCCCCUUUCUCUGGGAUAACGCUCCGAAAGGAGUGCUAAUACCGGAUACGAACUCUGAACACAAGUUCGGAGUUGGAAAGUUUUUCGGAAAGGGAUGGAGUCGCGGCCUAUCAGCUUGUUGGUGAGGUAACGGCUCACCAAGGCGACGACGGGUAGCCGGCCUGAGAGGGCGACCGGCCACACUGGGACUGAGACACGGCCCAGACUCCUCCGGGAGGCAGCAGUGGGGAAUAUUGCACAAUGGGCGAAAGCCUGAUGCAGCGACGCCGCGUGAGGGAUGAAGGUCUUCGGAUUGUAAACCUCUUUCAGUAGGGACGAAGCGAAAGUGACGGUACCUAAAGAAGAAGCACCGGCUAACUACGUGCCAGCCGCCGCCGUAA
rnacentral:rRNA from 1 species